UACGUAGGGUGCAAGCGUUAUUCGGAAUCACUGGGCGUAAAGGGCGCGCAGGCGGUUUUGUGAGUCUAAUGUGAAAUCCUUGGGCUUAACACAAGGGCUGCUUUAGAUACUCCAAAACUCGAGUUCGGGAAAAGCAAGCGGAAUUCCUGGUGAAGGGGUGAAAUCCGUAGAUAUCAGGAAGAACACCAGUGGCGAAAGCGGCUUGCUAGGACGCAACUGACGCUUAGGCGCGAAAGCGUGGGGAGCAAACAGG
rnacentral:rRNA from 1 species